UGGGGUAUAAAUAUUAAUAUAGGUAUCAAUACAUUAAAACUAGACUGAAUACUUUUGUUAUACACCUUUACAGUUUAACGGUACUACAAUCUGCCAAUACUUUAUUUUGGCAUUGAACAAGGUCAUGUUUUUCUCUUGGAUGUUGGAUGUGUGCUGAUUGAUAUUUUAGUCUUAGAUGAUUGAUUUUAUAAGUUGUUAUUGGCUUCGAACUAGCUUUCAGUAAUUGUUUGGUUCUCUCAUAUAUGU
rnacentral:lncRNA from 1 species